rnacentral:lncRNA from 1 species
UCGGGAAUCAUCGGUCGGGUUCUCCGAUUGACUUCUUCGAAGAGAGGUUCUAGCCAUAAUGCUAGCCCCAAGAAAAGAGACUAAAAAGGAAAAUGCAAAGGGAGUGAAGAUGCAAAGGGACAAGAAUGAAAAGCUUCGAGAAGAGCUUUCAAAGAAGGAGGAUGAAAACAGCUACCUAGGACUGGGGGACGACUCGACAGGAUCUCAGCGCC